GCCUGAGUGGCUCAGUGGUUGAGCAUCUGCCUUUGGCUCAGAAUAUGAUUCCAGGAUCCUGGGAUCCAGUCCCACAUCAGGUU
rfam:Canis lupus familiaris chromosome 29, whole genome shotgun sequence.